rnacentral:lncRNA from 1 species
CAAGGUGAUGUUCUCGACCAGCGAGCCAGCCGAACCACUUGGUAUUUGCUGGGCGCCGUUUAUAGUUCUCGAAAGCGGCUCUAUUGGCAGAGGAGCUUGGGCAACUUGCUGACGUUUCUCGUCAUAGAAGAAAACGGACCUCAUGUUUCCCUCCUUAAGCAACGGCAUACUAUGGGGGAGACCAGUAAACAAUGUCCCUUAGCGAGGUGAUGUUCUCGGCCGGCAAGCUGGCUAGACACUGUGG